CUCGCCGUAGCGCAGCAGCACAUCACGGCUGCUGGCCGUGAAGCGCACAUCCACCGCGGUGUCGGUGUUCAGCCACAGUUGCGUGCC
rnacentral:tRNA from 1 species